rnacentral:tRNA from 1 species
GAGAGUAUAGCUCAGUGGUAGAGCCCGUGCCUAACAUGCAUGAGGUCCUGUGUUCAAUCCCCAGUAAAUCCA